AAUUUCUCUCUCCUCAGCAAAUUGUAGAUAAAUUCUCUCUUUUUGCACGCUUUUCUCUCUCCCUAAAUUAACUAAUUUACACGGGAAAAUAAAAAGAAAAACUACGUUUUCCUCUCCAGAUUUUGGUGCGGCUCAGGGAUACGAUGAUUCGGAGCACUGAAAUAAAUUUGGAACAAUAAUUACGUAAACCCUAAUUUUUGAUAAACCUAUGCCUACGCCCUAAAGAAUGGUUCUGGGAGAGGGAUUGAUUUCAGUCGUAAGUUAUCAUGGAUUACAUAACCCGAAGCAUAUUGUUGGAUGGUGAUCUGUAGGUAGCGAUGGUGAUCUGUCUUAUUUUCAACAAAAUCCCAUUCUCUUUUGUUUUUUGGGUUCUGUUACUUUGCAGUUCAACAGGACUAUAACAAUUUGCAGUUCAGCAAGACUAUAACAAACAAUUCACGUAACCUCUUGCAUGUAUGAUGGUAAAGGGUUCAUUGUAAAACGUCAAAGAAAAUUCGAGCGAGGAACGAUCGAAUUUCGGAGUUAGCCUGACAAUCUUGGCAAGAGGUUAUUCAUAUAUUUUGCUCGGUGGAUACUAUUCAUUAUUGGGUUAGUCUUUGUUUCUUUGUAAUAUGAAUUCGGUAUAUAGUAAUGACUAAUCUAGAAGCAUCAGACAAACUAUAAAAACGAAAAAGGCAAAGUCAAAAUGAAAAACAAAAAUGACAGUACACAUAUUUGCCUAUAGUUAUGAUGAUAUGUCUGCCAUUGAGUUACUAAUGCAUGCUCUGCAAAGAUGUUGAAGAGCGAUAGAAAAAAAUAGCUCUCAUUGGGAUUGAUUGCUGGAGUUGUCGGACACACAUUCUGUGCGAUCGUAGAAGGAAAAAUCAAUGAACAUAAAACUUAAUCAAGAAAAACCAAUGAACAUAAAACUUAAUCAAGAAAAACCAAGAGAUCGAACCCAAGAUGCAAAUUACCAUUCUUAGAGUUACGAACAACUGCAACUUGAGAUGUCACGUAUACAUUUUUAUAAUAACAUAUUCGUGAGGUUUCUUUUGUAGUCACUUCCUUAUAAUGCUCAUUUUAUUUGAUGAACACUAGAUGAGAGACAAAUGCUUAGAAAGGAUGUUCUAAACUAAUUAUGCACCGAAAUUUUUUCUUUAUAGAAUGUACAAGUUUCUACUUUAGUUCUUAAGUCUUUUACCUUUAUGCCAUAAGCUUUGGUAAAGAAGUUGGUGGUGCUUGCAUUGGUGGUGGAUAUGUGGUUAUUAAGGGUUUGGUCGUCGAAUUAAUUGUUUUCUUAGUAUGCUAGAGAUCUACUUUCACAUACCGAAGAACCAAGGAUGUUAUUGGACUGAGGAACCUUUUGGAAGCUUAUGAUACUUUCUCUAACUUUUUGGUAAUGUACUAUGACAUGCAUCAGUUUGCAAGGUCGCAUUUGGUUAAUUAUCCUUCUUUAACUUUCCUCCUGGUAAUUUUAUGUUUCUCAUUAUUUUCUUCAUGCACUUUUUUCUUUCUAGUCAAUUUUAACGAGGACUGUUUUCAUAGUCUUUUUGUCUUCUAUCUGUUUACGUUGCUUCUAGCAUCUUUCAUGCUUGACAUGGCUGAAAGCUUGAUCGGCAAUGUUAGAUGUAAUUAUUAUGAGAAGUUCCACGACUUGGUUCGUAAUGCUACCUUGGGCAGUAUAUGGGGUAGAAGCAUGGUUUCAUCGGGGAUAGGCUAGAUUCGAAAAAUAACGCCGCCAGAAAGUAACAAUUUGACACGUUGGCCGCAACUAUGUACUUGGUACUCCCAAAAUAAUUAUAAGCAUGCAUCGGGACGGGGCUAGUCGUAGCCGAGCCAAGCACGCAUUGGGACGGGCGAGGCGAAGCCAAGCCACACCAAAUCAAAUAUCCUAAGCAUGCACCGGGACGGGGCGAGGCGAAGCCGAGCCAAGCAUGCAUCGGGAUGGGCGAGGCGAAGCUUUCCAAGCAUGCUUUGGGAUGAGGCGAGGCGAAGCUGAGCCGAGCAUGCAUUGGGACGGGGCGAGGCGAAGCCGAGACCAAAUCAAAAAUUCUAAGCAUGCAUCGGAACGGGGCGAAGCUGAGCCAAGCAUGCAUCAGGAUGGGGCAAGGCGAAGCCUAUCCACACCAAAUCAAAAUCUUAAGCACAGUGCGUAGGAUGGUUUUGAGUCCGCCCGGUGCGUAGCACGGGCAAAAAAUCUAGUGGAAUAUUAAUGUUUCUACGGUAUUUGGUGUCAAAUGUUGUCUUCUUCUAAGACAUAAUUCUGCUUUAUUGCUGUUUAUACAACAAUAAAGAUUACUAACUUGUUAAUGUUGUUUAUAAACUUGUUAAUGUUGCUUAUAUAUUGCUGUAAGUUUUAAAUUAGAACCAAUGCAGAGAACUUCCUAA